UACGAAGGGGGCUAGCGUUGUUCGGAAUUACUGGGCGUAAAGCGCGCGCAGGCGGUUCGUCAAGUUGGGGGUGAAAUCCCCGGGCUCAACCCGGGAAUGGCCUCCAAAACUGUCGAGCUAGAGGACGAGAGAGGUGAGUGGAAUUCCCAGUGUAGAGGUGAAAUUCGUAGAUAUUGGGAAGAACACCGGUGGCGAAGGCGGCUCACUGGCUCGUUUCUGACGCUGAGGCGCGAAAGCGUGGGGAGCAAACAGG
rnacentral:rRNA from 1 species